rnacentral:lncRNA from 1 species
AUGGGGCAGCCCAUGGACUUCUCUGACCCCCAAGUCACUUAUGGGGCAGCCCACGGACCUCUGUGCCCCACAACCUCACUUAUGGGGCACCCCACGGACUUCUCUGACCCCCAAGUCACUUAUGGGGCACCCCAUGGACCCACAACCUCACUUAUGGGGCACCCCACGGACCUUUUGCGACCCCCAAGUCACUUAUGGGGCAGCCCACGGACCUUCUCUGACCCCCAAGUCCCCACUUAUGGGGCACCCCACGGACCUGGACCCACAACCACCCACUUAUGGGGCAGCCCAUGGACUUUUGUGACCCCCAGGUUACUUAUGGGGCACCCCAUGGACCCACAACCUCACUUAUGGGGCAGCCCACGGACCCUCUGUGACCCCC